UCAGGGUUUUUAACAGCAGUUCUGGAAGUUAGAAAAUAAUGGUGCAAUGCCUUUAAAAUUCUGAGGGAAAGUGAGUUUAGAAUUCUGUAACUAGCCAAACUAUCAGGUACUGUAAGGACAUUUCCAGGAUGCAUGUUCUCAGAAAGUUUACCUCUUAGGUAGCUGUCAAGAAGUGACACUUCUACUAAAAUGAGAUUGUAAAUGGAGAAAGAGGGAAGAUAUGGAUCCAGGAAACAGGAGACCAACCUAGAUGGGAGGCAGUGAAGCAUGGUGAAGGGGGUUUCCGAUUACCUAUGUCUCAGAAACAUGGUGUGCUGUUUGUCACUAUAUCACAUCUCAGCUCUAUACCCACCCGUCUUUGCCCUCCUUUGUGAUAGUGGAGCUGGACUCUGAUUUCUUUUGCUGAUGUCACAAUGUCAAACCUCGUCAGUAAGAGGCACUGGUGGACACUGAAAGAGGAAGGGGCGUCUCUUGGGUUUCAGGAUUUGGUUUCCUCGUGUUCAUGUGCCCUUUACUGGACUGGCAUCCCAACAAGAGGCCGCCUGGCCUACCUCGUCUCCAGUUCUGGUGGUGAGGAUGGGCCGUGCGGCAGGCCUCGAUGUCUGGCACAUGUCUGAUGAUGUUGACCAGAAGCUUCUCCAUCCUACUGAAUUAAAUGUCUGAGACCGUCAUGUGGUCAAGCUUUCAGCUAAUACACAACAAAGAACUGCAGGCCACGCACUGACCCUGUGUAAUGAAAGGCUGAUGGAAACACAUUCUGGGAACUGCAGGAAGUCGAGGACGUGAAGGAAAAAGACAUUAAAGACUUUCUGUGUCAGAGAUAGUAGAAAAUGAUUGAUUACCUUUUAGAGGUAGGAUUCUUGCAUAACGGCUUUCUGGACAAUUCAUAUUCUUCUGGGUAAAAUACUCUGCUUUGGACUUUUUAAUUGUGGGGAUCAGAUUAUUUUGUAAGAGCAGUAAAGAAUAUUAAAUUGUAACCAGGAGGGAGAAACAUCUUAACACAACAAAUAGAUCUGAAAUUUGAUCUUUUAGGGUGUGAUUUCCCCUAUCCGGUCCUUAUCUGUGUGUUCAUAUUCUUUGUAUGUAAAUACAAUUAUGUUUAUAUUCCACA